AUAUUUUUUUGGAUUUUAAAAAUGGCAGACACACGGGAGAAUAGUAAGUUGCAUCUCUCCCCUCGUCCCGCAGACAGGAAGGGUUCAUC
rnacentral:ribozyme from 1 species